UCCCUUGUAGCUCAGUUGGUAAAGAGUCUGCCUGCAAUGCAGGAGACCCAGGUUCGAUUCCUGGGUGGGGAA
rnacentral:tRNA from 1 species